rnacentral:rRNA from 1 species
UACGAAGGGGGCUAGCGUUGCUCGGAAUCACUGGGCGUAAAGCGCACGUAGGCGGACUCUUAAGUCAGGGGUGAAAUCCUGGAGCUCAACUCCAGAACUGCCUUUGAUACUGGGAGUCUUGAGUUCGGGAGAGGUGAGUGGAACUGCGAGUGUAGAGGUGAAAUUCGUAGAUAUUCGCAAGAACACCAGUGGCGAAGGCGGACUCACUGGCCCGAUACUGACGCUGAGGUGCGAAAGCGUGGGG